GGCUAGGACUACCAAAACUAUGUUGAAUAAUAGUGACAGGAGUGGGCACCCUUGUCUUGUUCUAAUCUUAGAGGAAAUGCUUUCUGUUUUUCACCAUUGAGAAAAAUGUUUGCUCUGGGUUUGUCAUUUAUGGCCUUUCUUAUGUUGAGGCAGGUUUCUUCUAUGCCUACUUUCUGGAGGGUGUUCACAAGUGGCU